ensembl:lncRNA
AUCAUAUCGAGUUCCUCUACUUAAAGUUAUGAGGAUGAAAUGUCAUGGCAUCGCCACAAGGGGGAAGUAGCUGUGAGUGCGAUAGUCCUGCACCUCAGACGAGCCUGCAGACCAAGCGCAGCUCAUGUCUCCUGUCUCUACUUUUCUGUAUAAAACAGACCCCAUAGAAGGCCUGUUGCAUACACAUCAGCCGGGAGCUGACAGAGCAUGAGAGGAGGUACAGCAUGGUGGAGGAGUGCCUGGCUAUCCGGUGGGCAAUCGACUCCCUUCGUUAUUACCUCCUGGGACACUCAUUCACCUUCUGCAAACCGCAUGAAGGAUGCCAACGCCCGGAUCACCUGGUGGUAUCUGGCUUCGCAGCCCUUUAAGUUUAAGGUGAUCUAUAGAUCAGGGGUGAACAUGGCUGUGGCUGAUUUCAUUUCCCCCUCGCGCAGAGCUUAGCAGGUUUGGCCAGAUCGCCUCUGGGCCUCAGUCGGACGGUGGGGGUGUGUGGCGGUGUUGUACCG